rnacentral:rRNA from 1 species
UGGAUCCAGACUUUGAUCCUGGCUCAGGAUGAACGCUAGCUACAGGCUUAACACAUGCAAGUCGAGGGGAAACGAUAUUGGAAGCUUGCUUCCGAUAGGCGUCGACCGGCGCACGGGUGAGUAACGCGUAUCCAACCUGCCCAUCACUUGGGGAUAACCUUGCGAAAGUAAGACUAAUACCCAAUGAUAUCUCUAGAAGACAUCUGAAAGGGAUUAAAGAUUUAUCGGUGAUGGAUGGGGAUGCGUCUGAUUAGCUUGUUGGCGGGGUAACGGCCCACCAAGGCGACGAUCAGUAGGGGUUCUGAGAGGAAGGUCCCCCACAUUGGAACUGAGACACGGUCCAAACUCCUACGGGAGGCAGCAGUGAGGAAUAUUGGUCAAUGGACGAGAGUCUGAACCAGCCAAGUAGCGUGCAGGAUGACGGCCCUAUGGGUUGUAAACUGCUUUUAUAAGGGAAUAAAGUGAGUCUCGUGAGACUUUUUGCAUGUACCUUAUGAAUAAGGACCGGCUAAUUCCGUGCCAGCAGCCGCGGUAAUACGGAAGGUCCGGGCGUUAUCCGGAUUUAUUGGGUUUAAAGGGAGCGUAGGCCGGAGAUUAAGCGUGUUGUGAAAUGUAGAUGCUCAACAUCUGCACUGCAGCGCGAACUGGUUUCCUUGAGUACGCACAAAGUGGGCGGAAUUCGUGGUGUAGCGGUGAAAUGCUUAGAUAUCACGAAGAACUCCGAUUGCGAAGGCAGCUCACUGGAGCGCAACUGACGCUGAAGCUCGAAAGUGCGGGUAUCGAACAGGAUUAGAUACCCUGGUAGUCCGCACGGUAAACGAUGGAUGCCCGCUGUUGGUCUGAAUAGGUCAGCGGCCAAGCGAAAGCAUUAAGCAUCCCACCUGGGGAGUACGCCGGCAACGGUGCAACUCAAAUGAAUUGACGGA